rnacentral:ncRNA from 2 species
GGUCAUGAGCUCCGACGCGAAGCCCCGGCUCGUCGGACGGCAACCCCCAGCGCGGGUGGGUGCCCCGGGUGAGGACCAGGCCCGCCGUCGCCGACGGCGCGGCAACACGCGACC